ensembl:lncRNA
GUGAAAACGGAAACAAGAAGUAUGCCGGCUCACUGUGCUGCAUACAGUUACACACUGCGUCGUACGAUUGAGACAAGGAAACUUGGAAUGACUUUUCAUAGGUUUCCCAGAGACUAUGGGUUGAGGAGGAAUUGGAAGUUUGUCGGCUUAGACCUGGUGUCAUUCCAUCAGUGUUAAACUUCCCGGCUCAUCUUGGAAGAGUACGUGCCAGAAAGACCACGACCAAGCAGCCUUGAGAUCUCAGACAGCGUCUCUCUGAGGUCCCUCUCUGUCUCCCCACACAUCCACCAACCACUGGAACACAUCUCCAAAGUUCUGCUGGGCCAGCUCAGCUUCCCCUCAGAAGAAGUGCUGCCACCUUCCAGAUGAAGGAGCCUUUUGAGAGGCAGCUGGCAUCGUGAUUGGACUGUACUUUGGUCUGUUCCAAUCCAGCUUCAGCUCCAGAGACGGCAGGCGGGACGAGUCAACGGAGGCCUGGUGGACGAAGACAUGCAGCUGAGUACAAUCCAGAAAACAACAGAGGAGGAGUGCAGCAGCCCAGAGCCAGAACAACCAGAGUAGCAUCGUAUGUCUCUUAGAAAACAUCAUAGUAUAGCC